AUGCCGCUGGGACAAACACCAAGCCGGCCACACCAUCACGCGCCAAGAACGUCUAAAGGCUGCAGGAAAGCCGCCGAGCAACAACAGAGAGGCGGACAGCGGGACAGCGAGAGGCACUGCACCUGCUGCCGGCCAAAAACCCCACCUUCAGCAGCCCUACGCCCGAAACCACACUCCCUAGACAACGCCUCCAUGGAGGGAACGACACACACGGCGCCGCCGCUGCCCAAUCCUGCCGGAUUUUGGGUUUUCACCCGGGAGAGGGAACGGAGGUGGGGAGAAGGAGACUACGACAUCGCCUCCAAGAAAGAAACGUCGCCCAAGGCCGACGUCGAUGCCGGGCCGAACCAGUCGGCCAGGGGUUUCCCCCGGUCCCGAUCUGCAACACCAGCCCCAAACUCCACCGGAUCCAGCGACCAGCCGCGGGAAACCAAGCGCAGAGGGGGAGGGAGUGAAUUGGGGACGGCAAACCUCCAGAUCUGGCGAGGAAGAGGAGGCCUCCACGCUGUAGCCACCGGCCGCCGACGCCCCACCGCCCCCGCAGUCGAGGACGCCGGCCAGAGCCCUCCGCGAGCGCCGUUCAGGGCAAGAACGGCGCCGCCACGCCGGCAGGGGCCGCCGCCCCUGGGAUCCAGAUCCUCCGCUGCAGGAGCGACGAGGGCCUCGCCGCCACCGUCACUGGCGGCCGCGCGGGCUUGCCCGGCGACCACCUCAGGUGGCGACGAGGAGGGAGAGGAGGGGUGGGGGAGGCGGCGCUCGGGAACCCUAGCCGCCGCCCGAGUCGCCCGGUCAAGCGACGCGGGGGCCGAGAGACCUCUGUUUCUUUGUCCCUUUUAA
rnacentral:rRNA from 1 species